GUCUAUGGCCACGCCACCCUGAACAAGCCCGAUCCCGUCUGAUCUCGGAAGCUAAGCAGGGUCGGGCGUGGUUAGUACUUGGAUGGGAGACCACCUAGGAAGACCAGGUGCUGUAGGCG
rnacentral:rRNA from 1 species